rnacentral:rRNA from 1 species
GACCUACAGCUAAGGUCCCAAAGUGUGUGUUAAGUGGAAAAGGAUGUGGGAUUUCAGAGACAACUAGGAUGUUGGCUUAGAAGCAGCCACACAUUCAAAGAGUGCGUAAUAGCUCACUAGUCGAGAGGUCCUGCGCCGAAAAUGUCCGGGGCUGAAACACAACACCGAAGCUUAGGAAUGUAGUAAUACAUUGGUAGAGGAGCAUUCUUAAAGGAAUGAAGCAGUACCGGUAAGGAGCUGUGGACUUUUAAGAAGAGAGAAUGCCGGAAUGAGUAGCGAGAUGGAGGUGGGAAUCCUCCAGGCCGAAUAUCCAAGGUUUCCAGAGUAAAGCUGAUCUGCUCUGGGUAAGUCGGGGCCUAAGGUAAGGCUGAGAAGCGUAGCCGAUGGACAACAGGUUGAGAUUCCUGUACCGCGUAUCAUCAGAACUGUGGGGACACAGAAGGACAGCACAUCCCGGGAAUGGAAAGACCGGGGCAAGCAGGGUAGGAGUUAAGCUGGCAAAUCCGCUUAACAAUCCGAAGCUGUGAUGCGGAGCGAAUUUAAGUAGUGAAGUGUGCGAUUCCGGCUGUCAAGAAAAGCCGCUAUUGUGUGAUACGUGCCCGUACCGUAAACCGACACAGGUAGAUGAGGAGAGAAUCCUAAGGCCGGCGGGAGAAGCAUUGUUAAGGAACUCGGCAAAAUGACCCUGUAACUUCGGGAGAAAGGGUGCCUGGGAAACCAGGCCGCAGAGAAUAGGCUCAAGCAACUGUUUAGCAAAAACACAGGUCUAUGCAAAACCGUAAGGUGAGGUAUAUGGGCUGACGCCUGCCCGGUGCUGGAAGGUUAAGAGGAGGGGUUAGCGCAAGCGAAGCUCUGAAUUGAAGCCCCAGUAAACGGCGGCCGUAACUAUAACGGUCCUAAGGUAGCGAAAUUCCUUGUCGGGUAAGUUCCGACCCGCACGAAAGGCGUAAUGAUUUGAGCGCUGUCUCGACAAUGCACCCGGUGAAAUUGAAAUACCAGUGAAGAUGCUGGUUACCUGCGCCAGGACGGAAAGACCCCAUGGAGCUUUACUCCAGCUUGAUACUGGGAUUCGGUACUGCAUGUACAGGAUAGGUGGGAGACUGAGAACUAUGAACGCCAGUUUGUAGGGAGUCGCUGUUGGGAUACCACCCUUGCGGUAUUGGAUUUCUAACCUGCAGCCGUGAACCGGCUGGGGGACAAUGUCAGGCGGGGAGUUUGACUGGGGCGGUCGCCUCCGAAAGGGUAUCGGAGGCGCUCAAAGGUUCCCUCAUAAUGGUUGGAAACCAUUAGAAGAGUGCAAAGGCAUAAGGGAGCUUGACUGCGACACCGACGGGUGGAGCAGGUAGGAAACUAGGACUUAGUGAUCCGGUGGUAUGAAAGUGGGAUUGCCAUCGCUCAACGGAUAAAAGCUACCCUGGGGAUAACAGGCUU